AUGAUAAGAUCUUAGUAGCUCCCCUGCCGGAGGUGGGGUUCCAUGCCCCCUGUUCCCCAGGCUGAGAUUUUUGUCAGGCUGGAGCUUGUGCAGCUCUUGUGUAUUCUGUGACAACAAUUGUGAGCCCAUGUGCAUCUGCUCUGUUGUGUCUGGAGAACACUGUUCCCUUGGUUUUUAUUGACCAUCUCUGGCUCUACACUCUUUCCACCCCCCUUCCUUGACAAUACAUAGGAAGUGACUCUGUGAUAUUCAUUGUUUUUAGAGUAUUGUUUCCCUAAAAAACCUGGGCUUGUGGGAAGAAAACCCAACAGUGAGCUUAGAAGUCAGUGGUUCUCCAAGGAGGUAGAUGGCUAGAACACAUAGUAUUUAAACAUGAUGCACCCUUCCCUUCCCCUUUCCCUUUCCCUUCUUUCCCUUUCCCUUCCCUUCCCUGGGAUUGAGAAGCGUCUGCUAUAGGCUUCCUCUCUGUUCUUCGCUGUAAACCAUAUACAGCCCUUCUCUGUUCCUUCUUCAUCACCUGCAGGUCUCCAUUGCUCUAUACAUCACUCAAGACCUACAUCACUCAUAUCUGAAGGAUGCUCCUCAGAAGAGCACCUCAUCUAGAGAAUUAGUGGGUAAAGCUACCCUGAUUUUUUUUUUUUUUUGUCUAGACCUUAAGAGAUUUUGCUUCCUGGAAAAUUCAGUCAUAUUUUAUGAAGAUCAUUUGUCAGUGGCUAGAAAAUUCGCCAUGCAUGAUGCACAGCUGGGAGGACUAACGAGCUUUUCCUGAAGCACUUUGUCAGUGUCGGGUGCAAUGCCCAUGUGGACCUCACUUUCACAGCACCCACCAGUGUGUUCCCACGGCAGAGCUCAGAAUUCAUACUGCAGAGCUCGGCUGCUCUGAUUCAUCUGCUGCUGCCACGAAUUUAUGGUGGCCAUGGUGUAGGACAUAGUAAUGUUUCUUUAAAGUCCUUUAGCUUUCCCAGAGACCUUAGAAUGGAACUUUGCAUGUGAGGCAACUCUGAACCUGUGAAUAAUUCGCCCAGAAGGCAGCACCAAGUAUAUGGAAGAAUAGUCAGUGGAACAUUGUUUCCUACUCCACUGUCCAUGCCCUGACAGUUCCAAAUGUCAGUGUGUUGUGUAAAGGCUCAGGAGAGGGGAAAGACCCACCCUGGGGCUAUGUAUUUUGGUCCAUCAGGUGGUAACUUCUCAUCUGUAGGGAUAAUAGCAAUAAAUAAAUAAAUAAAUAAAUAAAGUGCAAAAUAGAAGUGUUCUAACCAAAGAUAUAUUCAAAGCCUCUCAUCGUGUCUGGCACUCCAAGCCUGGAUGGUCUGCUGACAUCCAAGCCUGGAAGGGUCUACUUCUGUCUAAGUAGAGGGCUAACCAUGGCAGUUUGUGGUGGUUCCCAUGGCUUGUAAAUGAACAUCAUUACAUCUAUGUCUCUCUUUGAGGACCUCUGCUCUCAGGGCUUUAAAGAGAUGAAUCUCAGUUCUGUUUUACUCCGCUAACUCCAGUGUGUGCUCUGACUCUUUCUCAUGCUACCUCUCCACACUACCCACUCAUUCUUCAUAUGUAUCUGAGAUUUAGCUAUGACCUCGUGUUAGUUCCCAAAGUCUUUGAAAUCUCACCUCCAUUGCUCCAUU
rnacentral:lncRNA from 1 species